CAGUUAAGAUGUUUAACUGAUAAAUUCAUUUGGAAAUUGAACUACAUUUGAAUACGUUUUUCAAUUGCAAACGAAUCGGGGAACGGAGUGGCGCGCGCUCAGUUAUUCCCAAACGCAAACCCUUUGUGACGCGGUGAAUAAAGAACGUUGUUAACGUUCCUUCCGUACUGCUGACACAGGUCUACAAACACGCUCCCCAAAAGUUCUUGCGGGGUUCCAACCGGUGUCGCCGGGGAUGGUGAUGAGGACAGACGUGUGAAGGGCGUGCUCAAAGUUGAAGCGGCCUACUGUCCUCCACCGUCCUCAUGGCUGAAGAGAUCAGGAGAAUAGCUGCUCUGCUAGAUCAGCCUCUGAGUGAGCGAGACCAGGAACUCAUCACUUACGUCAAGCACAAGUUUGCCACAGACUUCAAAAAAGGUGAGCGAGUGGACUACUGUACAACGUCACCUGACUUCAUCAAAAGCCACUAAAGAGUGAAAUGGAAUGGAAUGAAUCACUACUGACUGCUACCACACUUUGCUUGGUGUUUUCCAAGACCACAGUUACUUCCCUGAGAAGGUUGUUACCCGCAGUGACACACAGUAUGGCCUCGUACAAAAUGGCCAGGCCAGGAAGAACUACUACAGGAGACAGGAGCUGCUCAGUAAAGGCUUUUUCUCCCCUGUCAACAAGUAUGAAACCUAAUACACUGAGUAUACAAAACAUUACAAACACCUUGGUAUCCAUGAUGUGUGUGUUUGUGUGUGUAUAUAUAUAUAUAUAUACACUAAACUUAAAGCAUUGCCUUGUCCCUUGGAUAGACCAUACAAAACAGUGGGAAGGCUUUACUCUGACAACGUUGAUCUCUUCUCAACCUGGCUCACAUCAGAGGACCAAAAGUCACUGAAGGUGACACACAUCUCAAUGUGUUUUGUAUAGUUGUUUAACAUGGCUUGUCCUCACUCUGAGUCAUUUUAUGACAGACACAGUGGGACAAGAAGUUUGGAAAAAAUACAGUGAUCUCCAGCAAAUUCACUCAGGAGAAGACUAAAAAGGAGGAGAACGUCAGAGCCCCUCCAGUGGAGAACCUGACUGGUUUCCUACAGCUGAAGCAGUACAUGAGAGAGAUGGUCUCCAUCAGACGUGCUCUCCACACCGGGCGCCCCCUCAUAUAUUGCCUCAGAGACAAGCACUGGAACAUGUGGGCUUCCCGGCGAUGUGGUUUUGAUAUAAUUUCAUCCUUCGGGUUUUAUUCAUACCUCUCGCCGCGAUCAGGGUGUUGGAGCCGUCUCUCGCCGCGAUCAGGGUGUUGGAGCCGUCUCUCGCCGCGAUCAGGGUGUUGGAGCCGUCUCUCGCCGCGAUCAGGGUGUUGGAGCCGUCUC